AAAAAAUCUCUUCAGGAUUGUGCAUGUUCCUCACUGUUGAGGAGAAAGUGAAAGAGGCCCACAUAUAGACUUGCAAUGUUUUGAGCCAACUUGUAGCAUCUGAAUUCCCUUACUGCAGAUGAGAAGGAGAGUGCACAGUAAGCAGUACUACUGGAAGGAAAAGAAACACCCAGUCUCUCGUCAGGACCUAUCAAGAAACCUCCGAUGGAUGGAUUUCUGACAAUGGCACACUUUGGCUGCAGCAAGAGAGACUUGACCAUCUGAAAGAUCCAGAUCAUCUUGAAAUAUGCAUCUCAGCAAACUGCCCUUUUUUCCUUCCCAAAGCUGAUUGAAAGUGUAUUGCAGGAGUUAAGACAGGAAAACACCUAGAUUUGCAUGUGUCACUUUUGCUUUUGUUUUGAAAGAAAGAAGAGUUACUAUAACUGGAAUCUGCUAAAAAACACAACCCAACUAAACAUAUCAAAAUGUCUCGGUUGAAAUUAAAUAGAUUUAAAGUUGUGGGAUUAUAUAAGCAUAAGACUGAUCAGUAUUUAGAAGGAAUAAUUAUGUAUUAGAUAUCGAAGUAAGGAGGGCUUUAAUGCAAGACUUGUAGGCUGAGGCCUGCUAGAUUUUAGUUAAGCUAUUUUAGGCCUUGGAGAUAAAUAAGUGACCGAAGAAUAAGCUGAUGCCCUAAGAUUAUGGGAAGAGAGGUGCCAAGGGGUAAUAUUGCAAAAAAAAAAUAUUGCUAGAAGAUUAAUUUUUAAAUAAUAAAAAUGCUGUAGAGGCACAUCUGUCUCUAACAUGUGUCUUAACCACAGGAUACAGGUUUUGCAUCAAUGCUAAUAAGAAUAAAGGGAACCUACACAACCUAUAGGAAUU